GUGUGCCUACGGGAGGCAGCAGUGAGGAAUAUUGGUUAAUGGGCGGAAGCCUGAACCAGCCAAGUCGCGUGAGGGAAUAAGGCCCUACGGGUCGUAAACCUCUUUUGCCGGGGAGCAAGGGCCGGGACGAGUCCCGGUCCGGAGAGUACCCGGAGAAAAAGCAUCGGCUAACUCCGUGCCAGCAGCCGCGGUAAUACGGUGGAUGCGAGCGUUAUCCGGAUUUAUUGGGUUUAAAGGGUGCGUAGGCGGGCUUUUAAGUCAGCGGUAAAAAUUCGGGGCUCAACCCCGUCCGGCCGUU
rnacentral:rRNA from 1 species